GGCCUACACAUGCAAGUCGAGGGGCAGCGCAAAGAUAGUUUACUAUUUUGGCGGCGACCGGCGCACGGGUGAGUAACGCGUAUGCAACCUACCUUAUACAGGAGUAUAGCCCGAAGAAAUUCGGAUUAAUCCUCCAUAGUAUUCUUUAAUGGCAUCAUUUGAAGAAUUAAAGCUUCGGCGGUAUAAGAUGGGCAUGCGUCCUAUUAGCUAGAUGGUAAGGUAACGGCUUACCAUGGCUACGAUAGGUAGGGGGCCUGAGAGGGUGAUCCCCCACACUGGUACUGAGACACGGACCAGACUCCUACGGGAGGCAGCAGUGAGGAAUAUUGGGCAAUGGAGGCAACUCUGACCCAGCCAUGCCGCGUGCAGGAAGAAUGCCCUAUGGGUUGUAAACUGCUUUUAUUUAGGAAUAAACCCCUUUACGUGUAGAGGGCUGAAUGUACUAAACGAAUAAGCACCGGCUAACUCCG
rnacentral:rRNA from 1 species